UGACUGCACCCUUGAAUGACCUCCUCUCCAGCUGAACCUUGUGCUUGGAAGCACCGUGCCAUCUUCUUGUGAUGCCCAGGUGUCCCUGGCAGGGGCAUCUGCUGUACCAGCUGGCAGUGAAGCCUUGCAGGAGUGCAUUUCUGCUGAAAACAGCUCGUUUUGGAAUGGAGCACAAGAACAGCCGUCAGGAGGUGACUGGCUUCUCAGAGAAGAAGAGGCUGGAAGAGGAUGAGGAUGGAAGAGGCUGAGAAUGUUGUCUGCCUGGACUUCAGUAAAGCCUCUGACACCAUUUCCCACAGCAUUCUCCAGGAGAAACUGACUGCUCAUGGCCUGGAGGUGCUCUUGGCUGGGAUGGAGCUGACAGAUGGCUUUGCCAUUCUUCUUGUAUAUGCAGCCCUAAAACACAG